GACGUAGGAUGCAAGCGUUGUCCGGAUUUAUUGGGCGUAAAGAGUUCGUAGGCGGCAUGUCAAGUCUGGUGUUAAAUCCCGGGGCUCAACCCCGGACCGGCACUGGAUACUGGCAAGCUAGAGUACAGAAGAGGCAAGGGGAAUUCCCAGUGUAGCGGUGAAAUGCGUAGAUAUUGGGAGGAACACCAGUGGCGUAAGCGCCUUGCUGGGCUGUUACUGACGCUGAGGAACGAAAGCCAGGGGAGCGAAUGGG
rnacentral:rRNA from 1 species